UACAGAGGGUGCAAGCGUUGUUCGGAAUUAUUGGGCGUAAAGCGCGUGUAGGCGGCUUUGCAAGUCGGGUGUGAAAUCCCUCAGCUCAACUGAGGAAGUGCGCCCGAAACUGCAGAGCUUGAGUACCGGAGAGGAUGGCGGAAUUCCCCAAGUAGAGGUGAAAUUCGUAGAUAUGGGGAGGAACACCGGUGGCGAAGGCGGCCAUCUGGACGGAUACUGACGCUGAGACGCAAAAGCGUGGGGAGCAAACAGG
rnacentral:rRNA from 1 species